rnacentral:rRNA from 1 species
GGACGGGUGAGUAAUGCCUGGGAAAUUGCCCUGAUGUGGGGGAUAACCAUUGGAAACGAUGGCUAAUACCGCAUAAUAGCUUCGGCUCAAAGAGGGGGACCUUCGGGCCUCUCGCGUCAGGAUAUGCCCAGGUGGGAUUAGCUAGUUGGUGAGGUAAGGGCUCACCAAGGCGACGAUCCCUAGCUGGUCUGAGAGGAUGAUCAGCCACACUGGAACUGAGACACGGUCCAGACUCCUACGGGAGGCAGCAGUGGGGAAUAUUGCACAAUGGGCGCAAGCCUGAUGCAGCCAUGCCGCGUGUAUGAAGAAGGCCUUCGGGUUGUAAAGUACUUUCAGCAGUGAGGAAGGNGGAGUCGUUAAUAGCGGCCUCNUUUGACGUUAGCUGCNNAAGAAGCACCGGCUAACUCCGUGCCAGCAGCCGCGGUAAUACGGAGGGUGCGAGCGUUAAUCGGAAUUACUGGGCGUAAAGCGCAUGCAGGUGGUUUGNUAAGUCNGAUGUGAAAGCCCGGGGCUCAACCUCGGAAUUGCAUUUGAAAACUGGCANANUAGAGUACUG